CGCUGGCGGCGUGCCUAAUACAUGCAAGUCGAGCGAGCGGAACCAACAGGUUUACUUCGGUAAUGACGUUGGGAAAGCGAGCGGCGGAUGGGUGAGUAACACGUGGGGAACCUGCCCCUAAGUCUGGGAUACCAUUUGGAAACAGGUGCUAAUACCGGAUAAUAAAGCAGAUCGCAUGAUCAGCUUUUGAAAGGCGGCGUAAGCUGUCGCUAAGGGAUGGCCCCGCGGUGCAUUAGCUAGUUGGUAAGGUAACGGCUUACCAAGGCGACGAUGCAUAGCCGAGUUGAGAGACUGAUCGGCCACAUUGGGACUGAGACACGGCCCAAACUCCUACGGGAGGCAGCAGUAGGGAAUCUUCCACAAUGGACGCAAGUCUGAUGGAGCAACGCCGCGUGAGUGAAGAAGGUUUUCGGAUCGUAAAGCUCUGUUGUUGGUGAAGAAGGAUAGAGGUAGUAACUGGCCUUUAUUUGACGGUAAUCAACCAGAAAGUCACGGCUAACUACGUG
rnacentral:rRNA from 1 species